CCUACGGGCGGCAGCAGUGAGGAAUAUUGGUCAAUGGGCGCGAGUCUGAACCAGCCAAGUCGCGUGAAGGAAGACGGCUCUAUGGAUUGUAAACUUCUUUUGUAGGGGAGCAAACGCCGCCACGCGUGGCGUUCUGAGAGUACCCGAAGAAAAAGGAUCGGCUAACUCCGUGCCAGCAGCCGCGGUAAUACGGAGGAUUCGAGCGUUAUCCGGAUUUAUUGGGGUUAAAGGGUGCGGAGGCGGGAGGUCAAGUCAGCGGUAAAAUUGUGAGGGCCAACCCCUGCGGUGCCGUUAAUACUGGUUGGCUUGAGUGAGGUAGAGGUAGGCGGAAUGCGUGGUGUAGCGGUGAAAUGCAUAGAUAUCACGCAGAACUCCGAUUGCGAAGGCAGCAUACCG
rnacentral:rRNA from 1 species